UAGAUAUCAAUAAGCGGAGGAAAAGAAACCAACAGGGAUUGCCCUAGUAACGGCGAGUGAAGCGGCAACAGCUCAAAUUUGAAAUCUGGCGCAAGCCCGAGUUGUAAUUUGUAGAGGAUGCUUCUGGGUAGCGACCGAUCUAAGUUCCUUGGAACAGGACGUCAUAGAGGGUGAGAAUCCCGUAUGUGACCGGCCCGCACCCUUUACGUAGCUCCUUCGACGAGUCGAGUUGUUUGGGAAUGCAGCUCUAAAUGGGAGGUAAAUUUCUUCUAAAGCUAAAUACCGGCCAGAGACCGAUAGCGCACAAGUAGAGUGAUCGAAAGAUGAAAAGUACUUUGGAAAGAGAGUUAAAAAGCACGUGAAAUUGUUGAAAGGGAAGCGCCUGCAACCAGACUUCGCGGCAGUGUUCCGCCGGUCUUCUGACCGGUUCAUUCUCUGUCGCGAGGCCAUCAUCGUCUGGGCCCGCCGGAUAAGACCUGAGGAAUGUGGCUCCCCCUCGGGGGAGUGUUAUAGCCUCUGGUGAUGCGGCGUGGCUCGGGCGAGGUCCGCGCUUCGGCAAGGAUGAUGGCGUAAUGGUUGUCGGCGGCCCGUCUUGAAACACGGACCAAGGAGUCUAACAUCUAUGCGAGUGUUUGGG
rnacentral:rRNA from 1 species